CAUGGUAAAGGCUUCUUCCUCUUCCUUGCUGCAGCGUGGGGGGUGUGUGCCGUGCAACAGGGCUUUUGUUCACGGAUAAACCGUAUGGGCUUUCUCCGGGACCCUUGGUUUUCUGGAAGUGAUGAAGAUCCCUGUCCCAGACCCUGAGGCUUGGAUCAAGGUGGAGAGCUGAUGGUGCAAGAGCCUGCCCUGGAGAUGCUCAUCCCUGGGGAAACAGGACCAGUCAACACGGAAAUCAAAGCCACAGGGAAGAGGGGAACUGGUUUGGGAGGCUAGAGAUGGGACAUGAUGAAGCAAGACCCUCCUCAUCAGGGUGUAGGCCAUGAGAGAUGACCCAGGAUGGGUCCGCCUAAAGGAAUAAACACCCAGAGAAUAGGAGUCAAAACCAAAAAGGAAAUCUGAGCUCUGACCACCCUGCAGGUGCCAACUACCCUUUCUUCCCAAGAUCACCCAUCUGAUGCAUCCCUAAUUCAGCCAUUCAGCUGGAAAGUCUCCAGAGGCUUAUUCCAGGGCCAAGGGGAGGGAUCUGCACCUGCUCUUCCCCACCCCGCCUCCAGUUAAGGUAAAGUGUACAAAAUCCCUCCUGGUUAGAUUAUUUUCCACCAUCAACUACCCCAGAGCAACAAGCAUCUUGAUUACCUUUAAAUAAGGUUAAUUUAAUUCCUUAAGGAGGCCCUUACAGACACUGUAACUCUUAUUUAACAUUAUUUAUCAGCAUAUUCAUCAUCAUCACAAGAUGCUGGGGUGAGAUCUUCACCCAAUGCACAAGGAAAAUCCUCAUAACUACAUCCCUUCCCUGAUGACUAUUAAUUAAUUAGUAGUAAAGCAGCAGAGAAACCCCUCUCCCACCUACCAGAGCUGGGGUUUGACUAUUUCAGGAUGGGCCAUGGGAUGCGUUGCGUCGCACGGGGUCUCCAAACCAUGAUACUCCCCCAUGAGAUAAACCCACACUCCCAUGUUCGCAGAGGCUUAAUCCCCUUGCUUUGGUUGCAAUUUAAGGACAAGCAGCAGGGGGGACAGGGAUGUUUACCUGCAUCAGGGUGAGAAGUUGCGGCUGCAGAGCAUCUGCACCCCUAAAAUCCCUUCCCCAGCUCCCAAAAUGAACAUGCCCACCCCCUAGAACAGGGUUGAUGGAGCUGAAUGAUUUAUUGGGAAGAAAACCUGGGAUGAUCAACCCCCUGGGAUUUUUUUUUUUCUUUUUUUUUUGGCAGGUGGUGAUGUCUCUGCCAAAUCCCCAAAGCAUCCCAGGGACCCCAACACCUCAAGAGUUGUGGGGUUGGGAUCACAGGCGGUUUCUACCCCCUCUUGGUGGGGGUCAUUACCCCACAGGGGGUAAAUCUGCCAUCCAUCUGGGAUAUUCCUGCCCAUUGUGCAAAGCAAGAGCCCCAUUAACCCUCCCAGUAGUCCCUCCGGGAGGGAAUGGCCUUAACCCCUUUCCUCCCAGCCAGGAUGGUAGGAAAACAUCAUUGCAACAGCAAUCAAAUGUGAUAUCCUUCUGCUCCUCAAAAGAAAAAAAAAAAAAAGCUGCUUUUACCUCAAAAUGAGUCCCAGAUGCAGCCCCUACCCCAAAGACAAACCCUCCUCUCCCCAAACUAACCUUAAUCUCAUCCCCUUGGCACAAAAGUAUUCACCUGACAUGGCUGGGAAAAACAAAUCUGGAGAUAAACCUAUAAAUUUAAUUACUCCCCUCCAUCCAUUUACCCUCUCCCAUUUCCAAUAUAUAUAAAAUUAUUUGCCCAAAUAGCUAUAUUUUGGCCUGUCCCCACUGCCCCUCUCCUGACAUGCAGGGAUUUGUCCCUCUAGUAGGAGAUGGAGCCAAGAACGAACGAGCAUGGAGAUGGAGAGAGAAAUAGGGAUGGAAGGAGAAAUAAAUAGGGAUGGAAGGAGGUUUCUAAGUCCUGAAGAGGGAAAAAAAGUCUCGAUUCUUUCAAUUUAUAGAGGCAGCAGGUUUAUUUUCCCUGCAACAGAAAUCUGCACUUGACCAUGAGAAUCCUCUUCUGCAGCCAAGGCUGGAAUGGGAUUUAACACAACUUGGGAAUCAAGUUUGAAAGCUGAUGGAAUAUUCUGUUUUAUUAUUUAUCCCUCCUAAGCGCAUUCUUUUCAGCAAUUAACUAGGCAGAAAAAAAGCAUUCCCUAAAAUAACUUCAAAAGACUUAAUCAUCUACUUCAGACCUUUAUUAUAAAGUGAAAUUACAUUUUCUCAGGCAGCAAUAAUAUGAAAGAUUUUACAAUUUAUCUUUACACGAUGGCUUCACAGCUAUUGAAACGUUUUUAUGUGUUAUUAAAAGCUUUUCCUACAUACUUAGAUUUCAUCUUCCUGUUGAGGAGGAUGGGGUUAACAGAGAUGAGAAGGAUAUUUCCAUAAGAAUUGAGGAUCCUCAACAGUAACUGCAGGCCUGCAGGUGGGUUCCAGCACAUCCAUUUGAAAUACGAAAUACUUGAGUUAAAAGGUAAAAAAAAAACCAAAACCACAAACCAGUUUCCUUCCACAAAGUGGGGGAUACCUGCCUGAGCCCCAAACCUGCCCUGCUCAUGGUUGGCAGCCAAGGAAAUACCUGGGCUCUAGAAAAGAAAGCGAGACUCCUCAACUGAGAGGCAGAAGAACCUGUGCUCCCCCCUUUGGAUUAGACCAUUUCCCCCUGAUUUUACACCAAAACAUAGGUCUGAUGCACAGGUGCAGGGUGAGACUCUCAGGUUCUUGCGCUUAAAUCUUCAAAUACCUCGCUUGUGGUGGCUUUGCUUCUGGGGUUUAUUGUCCAGGAGACAAAUUUAUUUCCAUCAGGCUGGAGAAAAAAAAAAAAUAUCUCUAUUUUGCCUGGGUUUAGCAAUUAUUUUUUUUCUGGGAUUCCCUAGGGGUCUGGCUGCCUCCUGUCAGCAGGACAUGGAUGGGAGAUGUGACCAGCAAAGGGUGUUUUGGGGAUGGAGGCACCAAAGAUGAUUUACCCCAAGUGGGAUCCCUCAGGGACGCUGCACGCCCGGGGCGGGGGUGAUGCUCUCCUGGGGGAUUAUACACCCAAAAAUGGAUCAAGACACCCAGCCGUGGGCUGCAUCCUCAGUGGGCUCGCUGCGCCCGUGGGAGAUGCUCCACUCUGGCUGUGGGAUGCUCCCCCGGGGAUGCUGCACGCCCGGGGGUGAUGCUCCUCUGGGGAUGCUGCACGCCCGGGGGUGAUGCUCCCCGAGGGAUGCUGCACGCCCGGGGAGGGGGUGAUGCUCUCCCGGGGGAUGAUGUUCUCCCGGGGCUGAUGCUCCCCCAGGGAUGACGCUUUCCUGGGGGACGAUGCCCCUCCGGGGAUGCAGGGAUGCAGCUCGCCCGGAGGCUGCUGCUGCUCUGCUCGGGGUGGGGGGAUGCUGCUACUGCUCCCCCCGC